UAACCGCUGAAAGCAUCUAAGCGGGAAACUUGCCUGAAGAUUAAUCUUCCCGGAGGCUUGACCUCCCUUAAGGGUCGUCCUAGACCAGGACGUUGAUAGGCUGGGUGUGGAAGCGCUGUAAGGCGUUGAGCUAACCAGUACUAAUUGCCCGUGAGGCUUGAUCCUAUAACC
rnacentral:rRNA from 1 species